rnacentral:other from 1 species
UAUCUUCUGUCGUGUUCGCCAGCGGGCCUACAGAAACUUGAGCUUAUUUCCUGUAAUGUAGGGAGCUGAACCGCGCUAUUGUGUGCAAGCCCACUUGAGGUGGGAAGCCUGAUAUAACGCCCGCUGUUCCCACUUGAACCUCUGGUUCAAGUUUAUUGCCCGCAACGGCACGAUGGUUGAUAC